rnacentral:rRNA from 1 species
AUUGAACGCUGGCGGCAGGCCUAACACAUGCAAGUCGAGCGGUAACACAGAGGAGCUUGCUCCUUGGGUGACGAGCGGCGGACGGGUGAGUAAUGCCUGGGGAUCUGCCCGAUAGAGGGGGAUAACUACGGGAAACUGUAGCUAAUACCGCAUAAUGUCUACGGACCAAAGUGGGGGCUCUUCGGACCUCAUGCUAUCGGAUGAACCCAGGUGGGAUUAGCUAGUUGGUGAGGUAAUGGCUCACCAAGGCGACGAUCUCUAACUGGUUUGAGAGAAUGACCAGUCACACUGGAACUGAGACACGGUCCAGACUCCUACGGGAGGCAGCAGUGGGGAAUAUUGCACAAUGGGCGCAAGCCUGAUGCAGCCAUGCCGCGUGUGUGAAGAAGGCCUUCGGGUUGUAAAGCACUUUCAGCGGGGAGGAAGGGUCACUAGUUAAUACCUAGUGGCAUUGACGUUACUCGCAGAAGAAGCACCGGCUAACUCCGUGCCAGCAGCCGCGGUAAUACGGAGGGUGCAAGCGUUAAUCGGAAUUACUGGGCGUAAAGCGCACGCAGGCGGUUUGUUAAGUCAGAUGUGAAAUCCCCGAGCUCAACUUGGGAACUGCAUUUGAAACUGGCAAGCUAGAGUCUUGUAGAGGGGGGUAGAAUUCCAGGUGUAGCGGUGAAAUGCGUAGAGAUCUGGAGGAAUANC